UUGUGCAUAUGUGGUGAUCUAAAUGCGCGCGUUGGAGACGAGUGUGACAUUUUUCAAGGUGUGGAGAAGAUACCCGACAGAGAGGUGAUUGACCAGACAGUUAAUGCACACGGAGGACUAUGUAUCGACUUUCUGAUUGAAGAUGCUGAUUAUUUCUUCUUUUAACAACGCUCACCUACAACAUGUCAACAGUGAAAUAGACAAGGGUCAUGUGACCCGCCCACACGUUGACACUAGUGACCUGGAUUUGCCCAUUCUCCUCAGUGAGGUGGAACAUGCGGUUGCACGUGCUAGGCGUGGAAAGGCAGCAGGUCCAGACUGUUUACCAGCAGAGGCAUUAAAAAAAUAAAUCAUGUAUUAAAAUCC